rnacentral:rRNA from 1 species
GAUGAACGCUGGCGGCGUGCCUAAUACAUGCAAGUCGAGCGAACGGACGAGAAGCUUGCUCCUCUGAUGUUAGCGGCGGACGGGCGAGUAACACGUGGAUAACCUACUUAUAAGACUGGGAUAACUUCGGGAAACCGGAGCUAAUACCGGAUAAUAUUUUGAACCGCAGGGUUCAAAAGUGAAAGACGGUUUUGCUGUCACUUAUAGAUGGAUCCGCGCUGCAUUAGCUAGUUGGUAAGGUAACGGCUUACCAAGGCAACGAUGCAUAGCCGACCUGAGAGGAUGAUCGGCCACACUGGAACUGAGACACGGUCCAGACUCCUACGGGAGGCAGCAGUAGGGAAUCUUGCACAAUGGGCGAAAGCCUGACGGAGCAACGCCGCGUGAGUGAUGAAGGUCUUCGGAUCGUAAAGCUCUGUUAUUAGGGAAGAACAUAUGUGUAAGUAACUGUGCACGUCUUGACGGUACCUAAUCAGAAAGCCACGGCUAACUACGUG